CUGCUAUCGACUCCGCUCCGUCGCCUGAAAAUGGCUUGGUCGGACAGUCAUCGGCGUCUUGAAAGCUGCGCUCUUCAACAUCCAGAUGGUGACUAAACCAUGCUCCGAUAACAGAGUACCCUCAGUUGCUUUCUACUCACCAAGAGUUGAACCGCCUUGAAUCGGAACGCUGGCUUCUUACCCUCUAAACGCGCGCUAGGACGUGGUGCUUUUCGCUCCAGUGCUUCAACCUUACCUGGGGUCUCGCAGACCUCGA